GAUGAACGCUGGCGGCGUGCCUAAUACAUGCAAGUCGAGCGAACGGACGAGGAGCUUGCUUCUCUGACGUUAGCGGCGGACGGGUGAGUAACACGUGGAUAACCUACCUAUAAGACUGGGAUAACUUCGGGAAACCGUAGCUAAUACCGGAUAAUAUUUUGAACCGCAUGGUUCAAUAGUGAAAGACGGUCUUGCUGUCACUUAUAGAUGGAUCCGCGCUGCAUUAGCUAGUUGGUAAGGUAACGGCUUACCAAGGCAACGAUGCAUAGCCGACCUGAGAGGGUGAUCGGCCACACUGGAACUGAGACACGGUCCAGACUCCUACGGGAGGCAGCAGUAGGGAAUCUUCCGCAAUGGGCGAAAGCCUGACGGAGCAACGCCGCGUGAGUGAUGAAGGUCUUCGGAUCGUAAAACUCUGUUAUUAGGGAAGAACAUAUGUGUAAGUAACUGUGCACAUCUUGACGGUACCUAAUCAGAAAGCCACGGCUAACUACGUG
rnacentral:rRNA from 1 species